rnacentral:tRNA from 1 species
AGGUGGGUGGUUCAGUGGCUAGAGUCUAGGGCUUGUGACCGAAAGGUCCCGAGUUCGAAUCUCGCCAGAGAUA